rnacentral:lncRNA from 1 species
UCCAGCACUUGUCUUCGUGUUGAAAAAUCCAGCUUUUACGAUGCCAUGUUCUUCUAGGUUCUUUCUUAUUAUUGAUUCUUUUAUAUCCUAAUUAGAUUUUUUAUAUAUAUUAAAGGUUUUAUAUGUUAAUCCAGCUUACCACAAAUAAUAUUUAUUUUUAUUGAUCAUAUUAUCCCGAAAUUUACUUUGUUUCGCUCCAUGACAAACACAUUGAGAACAGCAUAACAUUAUAAUUUUGCAAUUUUUGAAACGGAUUGUGUAGCACGGGAUUUUUAUACCCAAAGAAUUCAUUUUGAGCAGAUAUCGUAAGGCACGGGCGACUUUCCUAUUCAUUUCUCGAAUUGAGAACAGCAUAACAUUAUAAUUUUGCAAUUUUUGAAACGGAUUGUGUAUCACGAGAUUUUUAUACCCAAAGAAUUCAUUUUGAGCAGAUAUCGUAAAGCACGGGCGACUUUCCUAUUCAUUUCUCGAAAAGCAUAUUUUCUAUCCAUAUUAUAUAUCCAUUUGCUCUGAAGUUUAUGUUUUACCCAAGUUAGUUGAGAUAAUUUUGGGUUGUAAAUUAGUUAAUUAACGAGGUAAAUUAAAAGUGAAGGUAGCUUUGCCGAAAGCCAAUGUUCUUCACAGUCAGGUGAUUGUCGAACAAACCAAAUAUUUGAGAAGACUUUUAUAGUAAAUUUAUCAUCUCUAUGGCAUAGUAUUCUCAGGUGAGGUUCCAGUCUCAAACCCCCGUCAUCGAGCAAUAAAACCAGAAUUAAAAAGAUUUACUACUUGUGAUGUAAUCCAGUCAUGUGCCCAUAAGAUCACAGGAUUAAAGAUCAUAUGGGCGAGUUAGCUGGAAUUACAGAAAGUAAUAGUUAAACUACUUUCCUUAUUUUAAUGUUGCAAACGAAGAAAUUGCCUCAAAACAUCAAAGGUUUAGGGACAGAGUGCGUUUGCUAGAUUAGCUCGCAAGGAAAUAUAAACAAAACAAAAUCAGGAAGAUGUGAAGUGAUGUGCCAGUAGAUUAAGGGCCUGGAAAAUCAGAGGAGAAAUCAGAUCCAGGCGAGUGAUACUGGCUGAAUUAUCGUCUAUUUCGCAAGUUUUGUGAUAAUAAACUGCCUGGAUCGUUUUAUUUCGAAACCCAGGCAAGAAGCUGACUUGCUUUCCUAUUUCCUUUUCAAUCAGAUAAUAUUUCAAUAAAGAAGUAGCAGAAGAGAAAACAUGGCUUACCGUACCGUGGUAUUAGGUCGAAACUGAUGAGGCAGGAGGCGGAGCGGGGUUGACCUGUGCAGGAGGAAGAAGC